rnacentral:rRNA from 1 species
UACGUAGGUGGCAAGCGUUGUCCGGAUUUACUGGGCGUAAAGAGCGCGCAGGCGGUCGAAUAAGUCGAAUGUGAAAGCCCCCGGCUUAACUGGGGAGGGUCAUUCGAUACUGUUCGACUUGAAGGCAGGAGAGGGCAGCAGAAUUCCCGGUGUAGUGGUGAAAUUCGUAGAUAUUGGGAAGAACACCGGUGGCGAAGGCGGCUCUCUGGACCGAUACUGACGCUGAGGCACGAAAGCGUGGGGAGCAAACGGG